ensembl:lncRNA
CCUGCUGAUUCAGAAGCUGCGCCUUAAACAGGAUCCUGGAGGUGACCCUCCAGCACGUUGCAGUGUGAACAGCAUUGACCAGGAGCAUUGAUCCAGGUCAGUGGGUCUCAGCCCUGGGUGCACAUUAGGAUUCUCUGGGGGCUGUUUGAAGUAGCAAAGCCUGUCCUCCAUACUCAGAGCAUCUGCUAUAAUUGGCCCUGGCUGGGGCUCGCGUGUCAGUGGUCUUAAACGCUCUCCAGUUGAUGCUCACAUGCAGCCAGUGUGAAGACCCACUGAGCUAGGACAACGGUUCUCACUUCGGUGUGUGUCACAUCCUCUGGAGAGCUCACCAUGGACACAGAGGGCCCGCUUGCCGAGGAGGAUAGUCCUAGGCUUGGUGAGAAUAACCAAGUUCCCAGGCAGUUGUGAAACUGGCCAAAGCAGGAGCAGCUCUGGUCUCAAGGAACGGCUGUGAGGGGUCCCCGCAGCCUCCCAGGCAGCUCUCCCUUCUCCCUCAUUCUUCUUCUUCCUCAAUGCUGCUUGGCCAGCACCACGGCUCCUAAAGCACAAGGAACGAGAGAUUCUCAGAACUGGAAGGAACAGAGGCAUCUUUGAGCACGAUGAAAAAACCAAGUCCCACGCCCAGUGGAAGCUCAAAGUCCCUGACUCACGGUCAGGCCUGGGACUUAGAGUCAAAAUUCUGACAGCUUCCUGUUGUGAGAGGGCCGGGAUUCUGCCUCCUGAGAACCGACUUCCCCCCAGGGCACCAGGACCUAGACUCCCCCCCCCCCCAAGUUCCCACUCGGAACUUGAAGUACAAGCAAUCUCUGCUUUUGACCUUGGGGCUGUCGCCUACUCAGAUGCACCUACACAGCAAGUUAUCUAACCUCUCUGAGCCCCAGCGAACUCAUCUACACAAUGAGAAUAACAGCAGUCUGAUCUCUCGGGUUAUUUGAGGGUUAAACUAAAUCGUGUUUGUAAAACAUUAUUCUGGCACCUGAGACACAGGAAGGGCUCCACAGUGUGCACCAAGAACUACUAAUGACUUUUUUCCAUGUAUGUGUUCCCCUGAGAACGCUGUCACUGUCCGGCAUUCACCAUGGUCACCGUUUAGCUUCUGCCAACCCCAAAUUUACUCAGAAGCAUUGUGUUAAGAGAGCCCCCUAUUGGAUGAGCAGCUUUAGGCAAAGCUCUUAAAACUUGCUAAGCCUCAGUCUUUUCCAUCAGUAAAAUAGGGAUAAUAAUAGCACUAACUACUCAGAGAUGUCUGAAGUUUAAAUGAGAAACGCUUGUACUGCGCUUGCCCAUUUCAGCACGCAGCUCCCAGUCAAUAGCCUCAGGCUUUUAACUCCUCCAAGCCGAGUCGCCACCUAGUGGUGUAAGCGAGUAACUGCAGGGCAUAAGAGGAAAGGAAGGCAACACACCUCACGUGCAGACCCUACUACAGAUGCAACUAAUUCCAUAAUCAUUUGUGUUCUGUCCAUCUCACCUGACAGAUUGUGAGCUCUCUGCUGUCAGGAACCAGCCCUGUCUCUUUUAUUCUGCACCCCAGCGCCUAGCCCUGACACUGAGUGGGCACUCUUGUGAGUGGACGGAUGGAUGGAUAGUCAUCUGAAUCACAGAGGUGGAAAAUUUCACUUCCCCAACUUCGCCUUGAUCAAACUAUGGAGUUGUGGUUGGUCAACUUUAGAAGGAUUCAUGGAGCUGACCAGCCAGCUAAGGAUAUUCCAGAGAUGCCCUCCGC